GAACUUGUUUGAAAUGGAAUGCAGAUUAAGAUCAAUGAGUACCAUUAAUUUUUUUGAAAUCGAUCUGUGGAGAGGUAAAUUCGAGCAUUAUCUACGGAACUGUAUAUCUUUUGAGAUUAAUUUGA